ACAUCCAGGUGGAGCCACGCAUCCGCACCCACACCCUCCGCACGCGGCUACGUGCGGCCGGGUGAACGGGACGGAACUGCCAAAAUGCGUCGGCAUACGAGGGGCGCUCGGGUUUUGCUCGAGACAAUCGCCCGUACCUGGGAAAACGAGAUGGCCGUCGCAACCCGUGCACAACGGGGGGCAGUCGGCUGAAAUCGCAGGGCCGCCGCAAGCCCGUCUCCUCUCCGUCUCGACCCCAGUGCAGAUCCCCGGAUGCCAACCGGGAGGACGCGAGCGGGACGAGCGAAACGAGGCGGGUGGCGACCCCGCUGGGCUCGGUGAACCCAGCCGGCCAACGGACCCCGUCCGGACCUCCCAGCAGGUGGGGGGGUAUCGGAUGCCAAACCGUUCCUCUUUUCCUCUCCCGAGAAGGCCGCGAAACGGAAAAAUGGAGCCGAGGGCGUGGCAACCCUCGGUCUCCGCCCUCCAAAGUAGCGUGCACGGACCGGGCGAGGGGCGGACGGGGCCCGUACAAAAAUGGUCGGACCGGGGAAGAACCGGGCAAACCCCCAAGCG
rnacentral:misc_RNA from 1 species